UACGUAGGGUGCAAGCGUUGUCCGGAAUUAUUGGGCGUAAAGAGCUCGUAGGCGGUCUGUCGCGUCGGCUGUGAAAACCCGGAGCUCAACUCCGGGCCUGCAGUCGAUACGGGCAGACUGGAGUUCGGCAGGGGAGACUGGAAUUCCUGGUGUAGCGGUGAAAUGCGCAGAUAUCAGGAGGAACACCGGUGGCGAAGGCGUGUCUCUGGGCCGAUACUGACGCUGAGGAGCGAAAGCGUGGGGAGCGAACAGG
rnacentral:rRNA from 1 species